rnacentral:rRNA from 1 species
CAGGCCUAACACAUGCAAGUCGAGCGGUAGCACAGAGAGCUUGCUCUCGGGUGACGAGCGGCGGACGGGUGAGUAAUGUCUGGGAAACUGCCUGAUGGAGGGGGAUAACUACUGGAAACGGUAGCUAAUACCGCAUAAUGUCGCAAGUCCAAAGAGGGGGACCUUCGGGCCUCUUGCCAUCAGAUGUGCCCAGAUGGGAUUAGCUAGUAGGUGGGGUAACGGCUCACCUAGGCGACGAUCCCUAGCUGGUCUGAGAGGAUGACCAGCCACACUGGAACUGAGACACGGUCCAGACUCCUACGGGAGGCAGCAGUGGGGAAUAUUGCACAAUGGGCGCAAGCCUGAUGCAGCCAUGCCGCGUGUAUGAAGAAGGCCUUCGGGUUGUAAAGUACUUUCAGCGGGGAGGAAGGUGCUGAGGUUAAUAACCUCAGCAAUUGACGUUACCCGCAGAAGAAGCACCGGCUAACUCCGUGCCAGCAGCCGCGGUAAUACGGAGGGUGCAAGCGUUAAUCGGAAUUACUGGGCGUAAAGCGCACGCAGGCGGUCUGUCAAGUCGGAUGUGAAAUCCCCGGGCUCAACCUGGGAACUGCAUUCGAAACUGGCAGGCUAGAGUCUUGUAGAGGGGGGUAGAAUUCCAGGUGUAGCGGUGAAAUGCGUAGAGAUCUGGAGGAAUACCGGUGGCGAAGGCGGCCCCCUGGACAAAGACUGACGCUCAGGUGCGAAAGCGUGGGGAGCAAACAGGAUUAGAUACCCUGGUAGUCCACGCCGUAAACGAUGUCGACUUGGAGGUUGUGCCCUUGAGGCGUGGCUUCCGGAGCUAACGCGUUAAGUCGACCGCCUGGGGAGUACGGCCGCAAGGUUAAAACUCAAAUGAAUUGACGGGGGCCCGCACAAGCGGUGGAGCAUGUGGUUUAAUUCGAUGCAACGCGAAGAACCUUACCUACUCUUGACAUCCAGAGAACUUUCCAGAGAUGGAUUGGUGCCUUCGGGAACUCUGAAACAGGUGCUGCAUGGCUGUCGUCAGCUCGUGUUGUGAAAUGUUGGGUUAAGUCC